UACGGAGGGGGCUAGCGUUGUUCGGAAUUACUGGGCGUAAAGCGCACGUAGGCGGCUUUGUAAGUUAGAGGUGAAAGCCCAGGGCUUAACCCUGGAAUUGCCUUUAAGACUGCAUCGCUAGAAUCGUGGAGAGGUGAGUGGAAUUCCGAGUGUAGAGGUGAAAUUCGUAGAUAUUCGGAAGAACACCAGUGGCGAAGGCGACUCACUGGACACGUAUUGACGCUGAGGUGGCGAAAAGCGUUGGGGAGCAAACAGG
rnacentral:rRNA from 1 species